ACGAUGAGAUACACUUGCAGAUAAAUUCAAAACUUCGGACUCUUGGCUCACAAUUGCAGUUCAACAAGGCCUGAGGAAGAUACUCAACGAGGGGAAGGAGCUUGUCUUGCCUUGUAGCGUCUUAAUGAAUGGCAAAGGGUUGUGUGGUACAUUGAAUCCCUCCUGCCGGAUGGCAUCAAGCAUGCGACAAUGUUGAUCCAGGUGAUUUCUUCUCUCACUUCUAUCCUUAUAGGCUGCAUCACUAACUUUGCACUAAUCUUGCAUGGUAAUAAGUACUAACACUAUGUCAUUCCUGACAACUUGAACUUUAUUAAUUGUGUCCUUGUUAUGAUGUCACCAUUAAGUCAAGGCUGUACUAUCACUGUCAUGAUUGCCUACAAAGUUUACUUUCCCAUGGUUGUGUAGUACAUCGACAUAUUUAUGAUAACUUACAGCUUCAACUUCACAACAUGAACUAUCUAGGAGCCGAGUUGAAUUAUCUAGGAGCGGAUUUUUUUAUAGCUCUAAUUGCAAAAUAGAGCCAAAAAACAACAUAUUUUUGUAGUUGGUAUUUACUGUGCAUAUCAGCUCUGAACUAUCUCUCGUGGAUUAUUUUCAGAGAUAAAAAUUGUCCUGUAUACUUAUUGCUUAAUUACUUGGCAUGCUUAACAUUGGAAUCGAACAAGUCAAAUCCCUCUUGUCCAAUGAAUAGCGCAUAAGUCUCCCCAUUUUAUUGCAGGGAACCCAAAUAUUUCCAUUACAGUUUAGUUUUAAACAUAAAACCAAGCCAAUAUGAAAUCACAACUUUGGUUUAUUUUUUUAAUAUCAACUGCAUUUUUAUCUUGAAUAGCCAUCUUUCCUCUUAAACAUCCCUGCAUUCUUGUCAUUAUAUUAUAGAUAUUGAAUUAGCUCCAUUGAAGCCCAAUUUGAGCUACGGUGUUGUGUUCAUUUAGUUUCUGUCACUGUUGGAAUAUCAGUCCCCAUUCUGCAAUUAGAUUGAAUCCAGGAUGCUCUACCAGCAGAGGUUUUUCUUGAGUUUGUGCUCUUUUUUUUGCAGUUUUCUGAGCUAUGUUACCUAAUCUAGUUAUAUCUUGCUAUCCCCGUUCCUUUGCUACAAACUGGAAGUUUGUAACUAGUGGAUACUCUCAUGGUAUUCAUCUUGUGCUUCAACUCAUGUGACAAAUAAAUGAAGUGUUUAAUGUGCUUGAUUCUGUAUUGAGCAUCUUUUAAUUCUUCCAACUUAUCAGUUUCAGUGACAAGGGUGACACAUGUUGUAUCUUAUAUUUCUUUCGACACACCAUCAUUACCUUCUUUCAUCACUACAAAGGCAGUGAAUGGAAAUUCUGCACUUUCAUGGCAACUUUUGCGAUGGGCUUUGUGUUCUGUCACGCAAGCAUUGGAGGUUUCUGACGUCCCCUUAUACCUUAUAAAGGACACCCCCCAGUGCUAUGGCAUAUGUCUUUAUUGUCAUGAGACUUAUCCACCUGAGACUGUCACCUUUUUUAUGCACAGUCGGUACAUUCUCUCAAAUACGAUGAUGGGAAAUUAGUUGAAGGAUACUUGCUUGGAGCUGCUCGAAGAAGUAAUAUAUUUUCUCAUAUCUUUAUAUGACAUAUGCAGGGUGGAUGUGAGGAAGCUGACAACAAAAAGGAUGCAUGGGCUCCAAAGACUGCUGCUGGGACUGCCUGCUAGACUACGGGGACAAGCUGAAGAAUUAGAUACACGAGUUGGGCACCUUACCUUGAUCGAGUCAGUGGCGUCCAAGGGCGCUGGGAAUGAAUUUAUUUUCCUUGUAGACCGGUGAUCCAAGAUUUGAACUUUAAGCGCCUUCGGCUGAUGUAUCCUUGCAUUUACUUUCUGUUCAUAACUAGCUGGUGUUGGCUUCCUCAUGUUGAAGCUUGUAGUGAAGUCUGGUUUGCUGGCAUGCAUUUCCUGGGUGUCUCCUCGGUUAUGACCAUAUUUUGUAUUCAGGGUGUUGGACCUGGUGUUCGCUACGUCGUGCCUGCUGUGCAUAUGCAUUUAUGGGCACUGAGUAGAAGGAAAGUAUAUGUAGAUGCUUGUAUUUAGAGAAAUAUUUGUAUGUGAAGUUUCGCAGCUGCCUCAACUCCUGCGAGGUCGCUCACAUUGGCAUGUAAUAUCUUCGUUGGAUUCCGCUACAGAUCAGCUGGAAAUUUUUA